CCUACGGGGGGCAGCAGUGAGGAAUAUUGGUCAAUGGGCGGGAGCCUGAACCAGCCAAGUCGCGUGAGGGAAGACGGUCCUAUGGAUUGUAAACCUCUUUAGGCGGGGAGCAAUGCCGGGCACGUGUGCCUUUUUGUAUGUACUUUAUGAAUAAGGAUCGGCUAACUCCGUGCCAGCAGCCGCGGUAAUACGGGGGAUGCAAGCGUUAUCCGGAUUUAUUGGGUUUAAAGGGUGCGUAGGCUGUGAGGUAAGUCAGCGGUGAAAUGCCCCCGCUCAACGGGGUGAAGUGCCAUUGAUACUGCCUUGCUGGAAUGCGGAUGCCGUGGGAGGAAUGUGUGGUGUAGCGGUGAAAUGCAUAGAUAUCACACAGAACACCGAUUGCGAAGGCAUCUCACGAAUCCGCGAUUGACGCUGAUGCACGAAAGCGUGGGUAUCAAACAGGAUUAGAUACCCCAGUAGUC
rnacentral:rRNA from 1 species